CAGGGAGUAGUUUACGUAAA
rnacentral:tRNA from 1 species